GCUCUGCAGCCGGGCGCCCACCCCUUGGCAGGAACGUCUGGCCUCAUCACGUGCGUGACCUUCUCUGGACUAAUCCCUGGAAGCGGAGCUGCAACAAUUGGUUGGGCAGGAAGGUCAGAGACUGGAAGUGGCCCGGGUGGGCACCGCUGGAAGCCCACGCUCAGGGGCCUACUGGGCCCUCCUGUGGCUCACUUCGCUCCUGGGCACGGCCUCAGCCCCAGGGGGUGGACGUCUGGGAGGGCCUUUUCCGCUCUGGCGGGUUUGUGCCCCCAUGGCUCUGGCCAGCCAGACGGUUAGGGAGAGGAGGCCGGGUUGCUUCCUUGUCAGGACCCUUCGCGAUGCACCAUCCUCGGGAGGCCCGCAGGCCUCCCGACAGCCUCAGGCGGAAAGAGGAGCCUGGCACCCAGGGAGGGACCCUGGAGGCGCAGCCGCUGGAGGCAGCAAGCAGUGUGCACACAAUUUGCAGACUACACGCUAUCAGCGAGACAGAGGCACGGGCAGGUCUUUGCGGGAAGGUCUGAAGGCAGACUCGGCAGGAACUGGCAAACACAGGCGGUGAGUCACGUCUUCCCCCAUAGGGUCAGGGUGGCCAUCCCAGCAGAAUUACUUUGAAACAAAUCAGCUACAUUCAGAAUCUGAAACUAAGCACCAGUAACUAUACUUUGCAUAAAAGAGAAUAUUUAAAACAAGAGAACUGAGAUACAAAUGACCCACUAGAAAAAGUAUAGACUAUAUGGAGGUUAUGAUUCUUGAUAUAAAUUGGCUCCUAUAAACCAAUUUUAAAAAAAAAAAAAAACCUUGAGCGCAAAUAGAAC